UAAAAAGGUACUCAAGGGCACAUAAUGGAUGCCUAGACGUAUAUUACCGAUGAAGGACGUGGAAGACUGCGAAAAGUCUUGGGGAGCUGUCAUCAAGCUUUGAUCCAGGAAUAUCCGAAUGGGGAAACCCGGUAUGAGUCAUGUCAUAUCACCUGCAUCUGAAUACAUAGGAUGUUUGGCGGGAACCAACUGAACUGAAACAUCUUAGUAGGUUGAGGAAAAGAGAAUAAACAAUGAUUCCGGAAGUAGUGGCGAGCGAAACCGGAUGAGCGCAAACCUUUUAAGUUUUAUACCGAUUUAUCGGGAUAAUAAGUUUACAGACGAAUACUUAAGAGGGGUUGUGAGGAGUGUGAAGACCAGGUAAGAGCUGUUGAUUUAUCAACAUUUCUUACUUGCGAGAUCUCUCUGUAAUGGAGGUCGUAAGGUAAGAAAACUGCAACGCUAGCAGAAUAGUGUGGAAUAGCUAGUGAAACAACGUGAAAGCCGUGUACGCGAAAGCGUUGCUGACCUUAUAUCACAUUUACUCGAGUAGGACGGGGCACGAGAAACCCUGUUUGAAUCCGGCAGGACCACCUGCCAACGCUAAAUAUAAUAUACGAUCGAUAGUGAACAAGUACAGUGAUGGAAAGGUGAAAAGAACCCCGGGAGGGGAGUGAAAUAGAUCCUGAAAUUAUGUGCCUACAAGGAGUCGGAGCAGAUUUAUUCUGUGACGGCGUGCUUUUUGUAGAACGAUCCAGCGAGUUAAUUUUAUGUGCAAGGUUAAGUCAUUUGACGGAGCCAUAGUGAAAGCGAGCCUGAAUAGGGCGAAUUAAGUACAUAGGAUUAGACCCGAAACCGGGUGACCUAUCCAUGGGCAGGCUGAAGCUACUGUAAUAGGUAGUGAAGGGCCGAACCACCGCACGCUGCAAAGUGCUUGGAUGACCUGUGGAUAGAGGUGAAAUGCCAAUCGAACUCGGAGAUAGCUGGUUCUCCUCGAAAUAGCUUUAGGGCUAGCGUCAUGUAUACUAGCCAACAGGGGUAGAGCUCUGUAAAGGACUGGGGUCCUCACGGAUACCCACCCUUAACAAACUACGAAUACUGUUGGUGGAACCAUGGCAGUUAGAACGGCGGGGCUAAGCUCGUCGCUCGAAAGGGAAACAGCCCAGACCAUCGUCUAAGGUCCCAAAAUGUACACUCAGUGGGAAACAAGGUGAGAUUUCUUAAACAGCUAGGAUGUUGGCUUAGAAGCAGCCAUUCAUUUAAAGUGUGCGUAACAGCUCACUAGUCAAGAGAUCUUGCGUGGAAAAUGUAACGGGGCUAAAGUGUACUACCGAAGACAUGGAUAUACAAUUUAUUGUAUGUGGUAGAGGAGCGUUCCUGUCAGCAGUGAAGUCAGAUUGGAAAGUCUGGUGGAGCGGCAGGAAGUGAGAAUGCUGGAAUGAGUAACCAUAAGAGGGGUGAGAAUCCCCUCGGCCGAAAGAGUAAGGUUUCCUGGACUACGGUAAUCGAUCCAGGGUUAGUCGGGCCUAAGCCGAGGCGCAUAGCGUAGGCGAUGGACAUCAGGUUAAUAUUCCUGAACCGGUUAUAUCUUAUACACUGUUCACGGCGGAAUAGUCAGAGCGGAUUCAUGGUAUGUAUCCGUCUAACUUGGCAGGAAUGCUAAAGGAAUGAAAGUUUUGAUUUAUCAAAAUGAUUCUGGUGAAGACGCUGGCUAGAAAAGCAGGUGUAUGCGUGGAUAUAGCCGCCCGUACCGCAAACCAACACAGGUACUCGGGUCGAGAAGACCAAGGCUUACGAGAGAACCUUCGCUAAGGAACUCGGCAAUACAGCGACCGUAACUUCGGGAUAAGGUCUGCCCCCACAUCAUUUGAUGUGAGCCGCGUUCGGAUAAUUUGACGAUUAUCAACUUGGUGACAGGUGGUUAGAAUAUUGAGUACGUAAAUGUCGUGUUUUCGAACAUGAUAUUUCGCGGAAAAUCCUUUUUUAUAAUCACAAUUUUUUACUGAGACAAUCAAAUCAUAUGAUUAAUUCUGGACGCGUGCACUCUCAUAUCUGAUGAUGUGGGGGCCGCAGCUAAAGAGCCCAAGCAACUGUUUAUCAAAAACACAGGUCUCUGCUAACACGAAAGUGGAUGUAUAGGGGCUGACUCCUGCCCAGUGCUGGAAGGUUAAGGGGAGUGCUUUACGGUGCGAACUGAAGCCCCAGUGAACGGCGGCGGUAACUAUAACCGUCCUAAGGUAGCGAAAUUCCUUGUCAGGUAAGUUCUGACCCGCACGAAUGGAGUAAUGAUUUGGGCACUGUCUCGGCGAAGGACUCGGUGAAAGUGCAUUGGCGGUAAAGAUGCCGUCUGUCCGUACCAGGACGAGAAGACCCCGUGGAGCUUUACUACAGCUUUGCAUUGAUCCGGGUUACAACAUGUGUAGCAUAGGUGGGAGCCUUUGAAGCAGAUGCGCUAGCAUUUGUGGAGGCGUCGGUGAAAUACCACCCUUGUUGUGAUCUUGAUCUUACUGUUACCGUUAUCCGGUAAUAGGACCGUGCAUGGUGGGUAGUUUAACUGGGGCGGUUGCCUCCCAAAGAGUAGCGGAGGCGUUCAAAGGUUGGCUAGCUUCGGAUGGAAAUCGAAGUGAUAGUGUAUACGCAAAAGCCAGCUUGACUGUGAGGAGUACAUUCCAAUCAGAGACGAAAGUCGGAGUAAGUGAACCGCAUUAAGUACAUUUGUACAUGAAUGUGGGAUCGAAUGCGAAAACGGAUAAAAGUUACCCCGGGGAUAACAGGCUUAUAGCGCCCAAUAGUUCACAUAGACGGCGCUGUUUGGCACCUCGAUGUCGGCUCAUCACAUCCUGGAGGGGGAGCACCUUCCAAGGGUUCGGCUGUUCGCCGAUUAAAGUGGUACGCGAGCUGGGUUCAGAACGUCGUGAGACAGUUCGGUUUAUAUCCGGUAUGGACGAUAAGAAAUUUGAGAAGAUCUACCCCUAGUACGAGAGGACCGGGGCGGACGAACCUCUGGUGUAUCGAUUGUGGCCACCUGCCGCAUUGUCGAGUAGCUACGUUCGGAAUGGAUAAGCGCUGAAAGCAUAUUAAGCGCGAAGCCAACUUCAAGAUUAGAUUUCUCUAUGAGGACACAGAAAGACUAUCUGUUUGAUAGGCGCAAGGUAGAAGUGCGGUAACGUAUGGAGCUGAAGCGUACUAAUAGUCCCAUUGCCUUUUUAUG
rnacentral:rRNA from 1 species